AGUCUCAUCUCCUGGGUCUGCCGCCUGGUGAUACGGGAGCAAGGCUGCAUACUUGAACCUUAGUUCUUUGCAGCCUGGCCGUAUCUCAGGAUGCUGUCCUGCUAGAGG
ensembl:miRNA gga-mir-6669 gga-mir-6669